AUCAUUCUAGGCGCAGCUUCCGAUACGCCUACUUUGUUACGACUUAUCUCAACUAAAAUGAGAGCGACGGGCGAUGUGUGCAUAUUUUAGAGCCAAGGCCAAAACGAAAAUUUAACGAUUUUACUUUCAAAUCCAAUUUCAAGAUACGCAUAAGCAUAAAAAUCCAACAUUAAAAAAAUGUAAUCCACUAUCCCCUUAUCCAUAAGCUGCACCUUGACCUGACAUAACUACAUUAAAUAGGAAAGGAAAUUAACUCUAAUAAGAUAUCCUUAUGACGGAGGUAUACAAACUGAUAAACAAAGAUAAGUAAAUCAAUUCGUGGAACAUCAAUCAAGAAGCAGAUUCCUCUGAAAAGACUAAAAUACCGCCAAAUCCUUUGGGUUUCAAGAAAAUAACUAAUACUACCCCAGCAAAAUUAACAUAGGACAUAAGAGGGUAUCUAAUCCUCGUCUUAAAUUCAAAUUUCACAGAACCAAAACAAAUAUUAAUAAAUAAACAAUCAUAAAUUUCACCCAAAAAUUAAAACAUAAAUAAAAUAAAAUUAAAAUCUGUCAGCUAAAAUAUAAUCCUUCAUCCCUAAAGUAUAACCGCGGCUGCUGGCACAAUAUUAGCCGGAAACAGAAACAAUUACCGAAUCUACACUUAAUGUAAAAUAUCAAUAACCCCUACUACAAAAAUGAAAUCUUUUAGAAACCAAAACUAGUAUAUAAGAUAAUGCUAAAAGGAGUAACAAGCAAGGAUAAAACUUUCA
rnacentral:rRNA from 1 species